rnacentral:lncRNA from 1 species
AACUUUUACUAAGGGGCAAUUAUGAUGUGCAUCCUGUCAGCAGCAUCUUGUUUGUAGGAUCAACACUAGCGAUAUCCAUAGAGAUACAGUGUUGCUAUCUACAGCAGACUGAACUUAGGGGAGUUGACAAAAUAACAUAUCUUCGUCUAGCUUUGACAAAAUAACAUGAUAUGUUUAUAACUACGGUUAUGAUCUUGCACCCUGUGUGUUAGAU